rnacentral:tRNA from 1 species
AACAAGAUGGCAGAUUAGUGCAUUAGGUUUAAGCCCUAGUCAUGAAGGUGAAAUUUCUUCUCUUGUUU